UGGUGCUCACUGGGUGUAACAGUUCCUCCAUGUGGAAGAUCUCUGAGUGCCAGUGGAGAAGCUGUUACUUGCAGAGGGUCA
rfam:Astyanax mexicanus chromosome 24, whole genome shotgun sequence.